GGAAGGUUGGCAGAGUGGUCGAUGGCGUCAGUCUUGAAAACUGAAGAGGUGAAAGCCUCCGGGGGUUCGAAUCCCUCACCUUCCGCCA
rnacentral:tRNA from 1 species